GGCAUGGUGGCUUAAUGGUUAGCAUGUUUCCCUCGCACUUGCAUGAUUGUGGGUUCAAUUCCCACCUUUGUGU